rnacentral:rRNA from 1 species
AAGACCUUGCGCUUUUGGAGCGGCCGAKGCCUGAUUAGCUUGUUGGUAAGGUAAAAGCUUACCGAGGCUUCGAUCAGUAGCUGGUCUGAGAGGACGGCCAGCCACACUGGGACUGAGACACGGCCCAGACUCCUACGGGAGGCAGCAGUGGGGAAUUUUGGACAAUGGGGGCAACCCUGAUCCAGCCAUGCCGCGUGAGUGAAGAAGGCCUUCGGGUUGUAAAGCUCUUUCAGCCGGAACGAAACGGUUACGGUUAAUACCCGUGAUUACUGACGGUACCGGAAGAAGAAGCACCGGCUAACUACGUGCCAGCAGCCGCGGUAAUACGUAGGGUGCGAGCGUUAAUCGGAAUUACUGGGCGUAAAGCGUGCGCAGGUGGUUUUGUAAGUCAGAUGUGAAAGCCCCGGGCUCAACCUGGGAACU